rnacentral:rRNA from 1 species
GACGAACGCUGGCGGCGUGCUUAACACAUGCAAGUCGAACGGAAAGGCCCUGCUUUUGUGGGGUGCUCGAGUGGCGAACGGGUGAGUAACACGUGAGUAACCUGCCCUUGACUUUGGGAUAACUUCAGGAAACUGGGGCUAAUACCGGAUAGGAGCUCCUGCUGCAUGGUGGGGGUUGGAAAGUUUCGGCGGUUGGGGAUGGACUCACGGCUUAUCAGCUUGUUGGUGGGGUAGUGGCUUACCAAGGCUUUGACGGGUGGCCGGCCUGAGAGGGUGACCGGCCACAUUGGGACUGGGAUACGGCCCAGACUCCUACGGGAGGCAGCAGUGGGGAAUAUUGCACAAUGGGCGGAAGCCGGAUGCAGCAACGCCGCGUGCGGGAUGACGGCCUUCGGGUUGUAAACCGCUUUCGCCUGUGACGAAGCGUGAGUGACGGUAAUGGGUAAAGAAGCACCGGCUAACUACGUG